UAUCCGCUGCGGCACAGGUUAGUGGAUCUGGACUACUCUUGAGCCUAUUCAUGCGCCCCGGGGGCAUAGUGCUGGCGUCUUUGCGCAUGUCCGCCUCGAGCGGAAAGCCUGUGACGCUACCGUUGUCCCCACCUGAACCUUUGGUUCAAGGGCGAGGAUCUGCGACGGUGUUCGCGGAGGAUAC
rnacentral:sRNA from 1 species